rnacentral:rRNA from 1 species
GAUGAACGCUGGCGGCGUGCCUAAUACAUGCAAGUCGAGCGAACGGACGAUAAGCUUGCUUCUCUGAUGUUAGCGGCGGACGGGUGAGUAACACGUGGAUCACCUACCUAUAAUACUGGUAUAACUUCGGGAAACCGGAGCUAAUACCGGAUGAUAUUUUGAACCGCAUUGUUCAAAAGUGAAAUUCGGUCUUGCGGUCACGUAUAGAUGGAUCCGCGCUGCAUUAGCUAGUUGGUAAGUUAACGGGUUACCAAGGCAACGAUGCAUAGCCGAAGUGAGAGAGGGAUCGGCCGCAUUGGAGCUGGAACGCGGACAUGAGGACUGAGGGAGGGAGCAGUAGGGAACGGCAGGCAGCAGGCGAAAGCAUGACGGAGCAGCGGCGAGUGUGAGACGAAGGUCUCCGGAGCGGAAAACUCGGUUAUUAGGGAAGAACCGCUGUGUAAGGAGAUGUACAGAUAUUGACGGUAACUGGUAAGAAAGCAACGGCUAACUACGUG